UACGUAGGGUGCGAGCGUUGUCCGGAAUUAUUGGGCGUAAAGAGCUCGUAGGCGGCCUGUUACGUCUGCUGUGAAAGCCCGGGGCUCAACUCCGGGUCUGCAGUGGAUACGGGCAGGCUAGAGUCCGGCAGGGGAGACUGGAAUUCCUGGUGUAGCGGUGAAAUGCGUAGAGAUCAGGCGGAACACCCGUAGCGAAGGCGGCCAGCUGGGCCGACCCUGACACUGAGGCGCGAAGGCGUGGGGAGCGAACGGG
rnacentral:rRNA from 1 species